UACGGAGGAUGCAAGCGUUAUCCGGAAUUAUUGGGCGUAAAGCGACCGCAGGUGGUACUUCCAGUCUGCUGUUAAAGAUUGGGGCUUAACCCUAAAAAGGCAGUGGAAACUAAAGAGCUAGAGUGUAGUAGAGGUAGAGGGAAUUCCUGGUGUAGUGGUGAAAUGCGUAGAGAUCAGGAAGAACAUCAGUGGCGAAAGCGGUCUACUGGACUACAAUUGACACUGAGGGACGAAAGCUAGGGGAGCAAACAGG
rnacentral:rRNA from 1 species